UGCAUCUUCGACCACCACCAUGGGAAAUAUGAUCCAUACAAAUAUAUUACAUUGAAACAAAUUUUCUCUCUGCAAAUCUUAGGCGUCCAAGACAUGGUUCUAGUGGUCGAACUACUGUUGCACUCCAUGAUAGAUUCGCAAUUCAACCAAGAAAAUCAAAGAACUGGGCAGAAAAUAAAAGAGAAGAAAAAAACUUAGUUUUUUAAUUGAUGAAACACUCCACUCUCAUCUCCAACUCAAGCUCUUACUAAAACAUCCCCAAGUAUCCAGACCAAACCCAUUGUAAAAACAGGAUCUCACUGUUUAUGAUCAACACAUCAACAAAGCAUUGGCAAAGGCUCUAAACAAACAUCCAUAUGAUUGUUGACAACAUCUAAAUCAAAAACAAAUUGGAAACCCAUUUGAAUUCUCACUUGCCACCAAAUUACCCUGUCAAGAACCGAAGCAAAAAACGAAAAAUGGGGGAAGCAAAAAACGAAAAAUGGGGAAAGAAAAUAUCACCCAGAUACUAGAGAAUAACUAAUUCAAUUUUCACAUCCAACCAUUAGAAACCAAAGCCAUUGGAUACAAUGAAGCAGAUUAAAAGCAUUGGGUGCGUAUUUACGAAUGAUGUGGUUUGGAACCAUUACCAAGAUCAAAAGAAAAGUUGAAUACCUUCGAAGUUCCAUACCAAAUGAACCAAUCAACCAAGAUGAAAAAGAAGUUCAUGCCUCAAACCUUGAUAUGUUCUCUUCACCUCUCUUCUCACAGCCUUAGGUGGUGGCAAUUGUGCAGAAAAUGGUGGAGGUGGCAACGACCGCGAUUAAGGAUGAGGUUGAUAACAUUCCCAUGGAAGAUUUGAGAGAUGGGCGGAGAGAAUAAUGUGCAAUGGGUUUGAGAGAGG
rnacentral:misc_RNA from 1 species